CUGCUUGACUCUCGGCUGUACGACUCUCGGCAUGUUAGGACUGGCAAAGUUCCGAAUUUGUCGCGGUGUGGUGUACGCUUCUGUGCUCGUCAAGUGCCGUCAGAGCGCGGGGAUGUUUGAACGGAAAGUGUCCCUUCGUCUACAAAACUCUGCACGCUGCGGCAUCGAAGUCCUGUGUACGGGUGCACGUAUGCGCUUGGAUACGGGAUAGCCUGCCCUCAACGGAUGUUCAACAGUGUACGCACGCUGCGCGUACGCGUACGUAUGAGACUAGUUGCUGGUGUCCUGCUGGAGCUGAGAAGAGAUCUGCUGCCUGCCAUGAGACCAUGUCUCUCAAGUUACCGCAAUAUUGUUGCCUUCAAAGGGAGACGGCUCUCACAACUGGAGAAGCCUGGGAAGCAUGCAGUACUCCACAAAACCAGUUUCAACGUAAAAUGUGUCUGCAUCUCAUAAUUUCAUGGCUGCAAGAGUGAGCCCAAUGGUAAACACAUCUGAGUGUUCAUGAUGUCAUGCAUUAUCCACUUUAUCUGCACGUCAUACCUAUCUUGACAAAGCUGAUAUUGCCUUUAGAGAAAUUGUAGAUGUUGUGAGCUUGCAUUUCAGAACGCACAACAAGCUUAACACGUACAACACCAGAACAAUUUGUUGAGAAUUUCGGAUCAGGAAUCUUCGAAGCACAAUUUGUUUAGUGGUGUUAAGAUUCUGCUUAAGGUUGUUGAUUAUUACAUUCAUAUAGUGUUCAAGCAUUGCUGUAACAACAUUCUUCGCUUGGAGUACAUAGUACUCCAAGCGAAGAAUGCCACCAGAACGCCACAAGAAAUGCCACCAGCUCCACAUGAGCUGGUGGCAUUUUGCUCCAUAUUCAAAAACUGGUUUCUUCUUCAGUUGAGAUUUUCAAGUUUGCAUUCUUUAUUAGCUGUUGUAUGUGACCUAUCCUAAAUGUUUGAAUAGUGAACACAACGUGACCUUUUUGAUUGAUUUUGUGGAUUGUACACCCUUGCUGCAAACAAUUUGAGAUGAUAACUGUUUCCGCCUUAAUGAAAAAUAAUUGCUUGAAGCAGCCAUAGCCACCAAUAAUACUAGCAUGACACGAUUAUGAAAAUUGUGAUGUACUUUGAUUUAUAAUGUUUUUAAACAUAUGGAGCUCUGCCUGUGGUGUAAAUGGGUUCCUGAUAUCCAUUCGUGAUGCAAGAAUUUGAAGAAUAAACUGAAGCAAGAAUGUUUACUUACUUUUCAAGAGAAGCUCAUGGCAAUUUCCUCAUGAAAAGUAAAAUAACUAGAAAUAACUUUACUGAGCUGAGAAGAGUGCUACAAUUGUCUCAUUCGAAUAGUGCCAUA